UGAGCGGGAUGGACGGCAGCGUAUGAUCGCCGAAAGGCGCCAUAUGAGGAAAGUCCGGGCUCCAAGGGCAGGGAUAGCUGCUAACGGCAGCCGGGGGCGACCCUAGGGAAAGUGCAACAGAGAGAUACCGCCGGCCGAUUUUUUCGGUCGGUAAGGGUGGAAAGGCGAGGCAAGAGCUCACCGCCCCCUCCGGUAACGGAGGGGACCUGUAAACCCUAUCCGGAGCAACACCGCACAGGAGAUAAGAGGCCGGCCCGGCCUCCUCCGCAAAGGUGGCAUCAGCCGCGCGGGCGACCGGCGGCGCAGACAGAUUGUCGUCAUGACUACAGAACCCGGCUUAUAUGCCCGGUCACGGA
rnacentral:RNase_P_RNA from 1 species